GUUCAGCUACUGCGGAGAGACAUUAUCGAGUUUUGAACGGGUUGUCUGCUGGCUCGCAAGGGCAUGUGCACGCCUGUCUCAUCCACUCUCAACUUCUGUGCACUUUUCAUAGGCCGGCUUGUGGGUGCGUUCGCGCACUUGUAGGUGUCGGGCUUAUGCUUUACUACAAACGAUUCAGUUUUAGAAUGUCAUACUUUGCUAUAACGCAAUUAUAUACAACUUUCAGCAACGGAUCUCUUGGCUCUCGCAUCGAUGAAGAACGCAGCGAAAUGCGAUAAGUAAUGUGAAUUGCAGAAUUCAGUGAAUCAUCGAAUCUUUGAACGCACCUUGCGCUCCUUGGUAUUCCGAGGAGCAUGCCUGUUUGAGUCUCAUGGAAUUCUCAACCUUCAGCUUUAUUGAUGAAGGCUUGGACUUGGAGGUCGUGCCGGCUCUCGUAGUCGGCUCCUCUGAAAUGCAUUAGUGCGAACGUUACCAGCCGCUUCAGCGUGAUAAUUAUCUGCGUUGCUGUGGAGGGUAUUCUAGUGUUCACGCUUCUAACCGUCUUCGGACAAAUUUCUGAACUCUGAGCUCAAAUCAGGUAGGACUACCCGCUGAACUUAAGCAUAUCAUAAGCGCGGAGAGA
rnacentral:rRNA from 1 species